UACGGGGGGAGCAAGCGUUGUUCGGAUUUACUGGGCGUAAAGGGCGCGUAGGCGGCGUGACAAGUCACUUGUGAAAUCUCCGGGCUUAACUCGGAGCGGCCAAGUGAUACUGUCGUGCUAGAGUGCGGAAGGGGCUACUGGAAUUCUCGGUGUAGCGGUGAAAUGCGUAGAUAUCCGGAGGAACACCAGUGGCGAAGGCGGCCGCCUGGACCUGACCUGACGCUGAGGCGCGAAGGCGUGGGGAGCGAACGGG
rnacentral:rRNA from 1 species